AACGAACGCUGGCGGCAUGCCUAACACAUGCAAGUCGAACGAGACCUUCGGGUCUAGUGGCUCACGGGUGCGUAACGCGUGGGAACCUGCCCUUAGGUUCGGAAUAACUCCCCGAAAGGGGUGCUAAUACCGGAUAAUGUCUUCGGACCAAAGAUUUAUCGCCUUUGGAUGGGCCCGCGUUGGAUUAGCUAGUUGGUAGGGUAAAAGCCUACCAAGGCGACGAUCCAUAGCUGGUCUGAGAGGAUGAUCAGCCACACUGGGACUGAGACACGGCCCAGACUCCUACGGGAGGCAGCAGUGGGGAAUAUUGGACAAUGGGCUGAAGCCUGAUCCAGCAAUGCCGCGUGAGUGAUGAAGGCCUUAGGGUUGUAAAGCUCUUUUACCCGGGAUGAUAAUGACAGUACCGGGAGAAUAAGCUCCGGCUAACUCCGUG
rnacentral:rRNA from 1 species